rnacentral:lncRNA from 1 species
AAACUGCGAGGCUGAGUUCGUGCCGGGCUGACGGGGGAAGCGGCGGAGCGGUGGGAGAGAGCAGCGCGGGGUACUCAGAGCAGCGCUGCGCUCCUUUUUCUACCCCUCCGGGUUUCAUUUCUGCGUGCGGUGUCGUUGUUGGGUUGUUCUUUCGGGGGGAUAUUUUUGCUUCCUUUUUCCCCUUUUUUGCUGCUUUUUUUUCACGCGCAACUUUUCUUUUCCCUUUUCUCUUUUCUCACCAAAUCGAUGGGAGAGAGUUGGGAGAGGUUAAAAAAAAACAAACAACCAAACAACUCGGGGAUGCCCUGACUGCGUGUUGGGAGGAUAAGCUUUCCUUUGUAAGGAUAGACAGCAAGUCGGAGGGGGAGAUUGGAGCGUGAGUGAAUCCAACAGAUCCGGAGACAGACAGGCGGGGAGUGGGGCUGCCAGGAAAGUCCUCCCGGACCCCCCCAAAGUCACGAGCCUCAGCUGAGCCAACACUAAACGCUGCCCUUCACUGCACCGCGCAGCCCCUGGAAGUGGGGUUUCCCCCUCGGAGAACACAGGGAAGGCUUGGAAACAAAACCCCGACGGGAGGGAUGUUUGGGGAGGGAUUCGUGGUUUGCCAAAUUCGACGAGGAAAGUCAUCCACUCGCUCAGCCGCAGAAUUUAUCCCCCGUUCCGUUCUGAGCCCCCUGCUUUAUGGGAGCCCUUAAAGGGAAAUAUUCCUGCAGGAGCAGACUGUCUUCUUUGGCCUUUAUCGAGACCAAUUUAUCUGUCAAUCACAGCUCUCCAAUGACGGUUACUUUUAUGUUCGCAAGAAAAGAAAUACGUAUCUAUAUACGCAUAUAUCUGUGCUCGUCACUCUUUGAUCUAUUCCCAUUUUAAGAAAUAGUUACGGUGCGAAGGUGCUGAGAUGCAGGGAGUGACGUGAAAGCAGCUUGGCUUUCCCAAACCGGUGGAAUAUCUGGGAGAAUCCCUACAAAGAAGGGUUGUGUGUAUGUGCAGAAGGGGAGAGAGGGGAAGAGAAAGAGGCAGAGGGAGAAGGAGAGAGAAAGGGCUGAGCAUGGGGGGAGAGGAGCACUGAGAGUCAGUGGGGACGUUUUCCAGGGGAGAAAUAUGUCAGAAUACACCACAGACGAACCGCAAAACGAGCAGAAAUUACCCAAGCAGCGCAGCCCUAAUGAGGAGCAGCAGUUUUUGGAGCCUUCAUGCGAGCAGGCAAGGUCACGGAAUGAGUCGUGGAUGGGGCGUUUUGGUGGUGGCACACAAAGGCGAACAUAUCUGCUGAAGAUUUCUUUUAUUUACACGGGAACCUCCAUUGCACGGAGCGCUUCGCUCCCCGCGUCGCCGUGGGCUCCGCGCACACUCACACCCGCACACACACGAGGGAAACGAUCGCGAUUGCCGUACAAACCCCUUCCAUUCGGGGAGUGCACCGAGCAGUGCGAGGCGGAGAUGGAGACUCUUCACCUUACAGCAAACUACAGACGCGGGUUAACGCAGCGUCCUCUCCCCCCUCUGCGCUGCGGAAUCCCAAACCACGACGCGAACCCCCCGCAAAACACUCUCUGUCCGCGCUCCUCUCGACCCGAAGCCAUCCCUGGUGGCUGCGCGCAAAGUUACGCGAAUCAAAGUCCGCUCAGAGCAGCGGGAUCCCGAGCAUUCCUCCUGGCAGAAGCACGAGCAAAGAUCCGCACCGCAAUUACAGCACGCUUUGCCAUCGCCUUCAGCUCCUGCAAGGUUAUCUCGCAGCGUUUGUGCUCCGCAAAAGCUCCGGUUGCCCUCUUGGAGGGGAGAUGAUCUCUUCUCGAAAUGAUGGUGAACCACCGGGUCCCUUUCCAGGCAGACUCACAGCUUUGCCUCUCACCUCCUCUUUUCAAUCUGCAGGGGGAAGGAACUUGGUGGCACGGAGCAAAACUAACGCUAGCAGCCCACGAGCCGUAGGAAUCCUAUCUUAUACUUCAUUUUAUUUUAUUCCCCGGUGAAGGAAAAAAAAAAAUAGAUUAAGAAGUAGUCUCUCGUGGCAAAUGAGGAGGUUACAGAAGACGAAGCCUUUGUCUGAGCCAUUGACUUCUGACACCUUUUCGGGGCUGAAUGCUCCUUCCCAUGUCCGCCCGCUCCCGGACAGUGCUGUGUGCUCAGCGCAGUGCAUCCCUCUCCUCUCCCUUCCAAACCUUUUGCUUUCGCUUUGAGCGAUUCUCCCCUGAUUGGAAGGAGCGGAGACAGAAAAAUAAUCCUAAUAAAAUAAAAGCCAGAAGAGGGGAGGGAGAAUAAAACCCUAUUGGAGAGCUUACAGCAAUGAGGUGACACUGAUUUCUUGGAUUUUCUUGCUUUUAAAUUAUUUUUCUUUGGGGGGGGGGAGGGGGGGGGAAGGGAGGGGGGGGAAGUGGUGGUAGGGAAAAGAGAGCCCGCAGCCCUCAGCAACCGGGGGUCGGCGGGGGGAGUGCUGGAGCUGCAGGCCCGGCUCCCCCGCAGCUGCAUCCCGCAGGGGCCGAGCGCUGCGCGCCCGCUCAGGGCAACGCGGAGCCGAACGCCGGGGGCUGCGCUGGGGCUGCGCUGGGGGCCGAGCGGGCACCGACAAGGCGGACGGACACACGGGCGGGCGGACGGACGGACGGACAAAUGGAGCCUCCGAGCAGACACACACACAACACAGAUACAGACACGGGGAGG